rnacentral:rRNA from 1 species
AUGGCAUCGCUAACUAUGCUAGUCACAUGGACCAUUUAGAAUGAGAGAAAUGCACGGGUGUUUCGCAACAAGAGUGCUCCUCCACCAAUAUUGCUUGCCAUCAUCAUUUGUGAGGCAAAUCUUUGGGUCACCGCCGGUGCAAGAAAGUUAGGGUCAAUUAUCACGCGCGAGUAA